AACGUACCUGUGUACAAGAGCAAAGAGAUGCGUCCUGCGGCUUCGAAUUGUUGCUCCAUGCCCCUUAUUCCCUUGAUCUGGCAACCUCUGACUUUCUCCCACACAUGAAGCAACUGUGGGAAAUCGCUGAUGACUAGGAAACUAAGGUGAAGGUCAAGGAAGUCUUGAAGGGAUUCAACCCACCAUUCUUCAGGGACGGAUUUUCGCAACUGAAGAUGAAUUGCAUUACGGUCAAAGGCGAUUAAUCUGAUAUUUAUAAAAAAUUCCCUUGCAGCUUUGGGCCCAUACUCAAGAAUAUCCCCGGGACCCAACAGUCGAUUCCGAAGAGAAUCUCCAAUAUGGCGGCUGCACGUGAACAAACACUGAUCGUUAUUCACUGUUGUCGAGUAAACGGUAGAGGCACAUGAAAUCAGUAUUAGCGACUCUUUUGCGGCUCUUUACGGGAAACCGAUUAACGACCGUGAAAGCCGAACUUGGUCAAGCACAAUUUGUGGGGGGCUCUGAAUUUUUUUUUCAUGAGUACGGCCCUUCGGCAAACUGCAUGGUAUAGAAAAAUGCAGAGGAUAUGGAAAUUCAUAUGGUGUGACUCGUUUGCAAUUUGUGAUUAAUAUUGGUCAAAAAAAUUAAAUCUUGUUAUAUGAUGAAGGCAAAUGCCGUUGUGAAUUUGGUAUUUUGCCCAUUGUCUAGAUUCCAUUCCAGAAAAUAGGCAAUGGCAAUUGGAGUUAUAAAAUCAAUAAAUCAUUAUAAAACA
rnacentral:misc_RNA from 1 species